UACGGGAGGCAGCAGUGGGGAAUAUUGCACAAUGGGCGCAAGCCUGAUGCAGCCGUGCCGCGUGUAUGAAGAAGGCCUUCGGGUUGUAAAGUACUUUCAGUCGUGAGGAAGGUGUUAAGGUUAAUAACCUUAGCAAUUGACGUUAGCGACAGAAGAAGCACCGGCUAACUCCGUGCCAGCAGCCGCGGUAAUACGGAGGGUGCGAGCGUUAAUCGGAAUUACUGGGCGUAAAGGGCACGCAGGCGGUUAAUUAAGUUGGAUGUGAAAUCCCCGGGCUUAACCUGGGAAUGGCAUUCAAGACUGGUUAGCUAGAGUCUUGUAGAGGGGGUAGAAUUCCAUGUGUAGCGGUGAAAUGCGUAGAGAUGUGGAGGAAUACCGGUGGCGAAGGCGGCCCCUGGACAAAGACUGACGCUCAUGUGCGAAAGCGUGGGGAGCAAACAGGGAUUAGAUACC
rnacentral:rRNA from 1 species